AUUGAACGCUGGCGGCAGGCCUAACACAUGCAAGUCGAACGGUAACAGGAAGCAGCUUGCUGCUUCGCUGACGAGUGGCGGACGGGUGAGUAAUGUCUGGGAAGCUGCCUGAUGGAGGGGGAUAACUACUGGAAACGGUAGCUAAUACCGCAUAAUGUCGCAAGACCAAAGAGGGGGACCUUCGGGCCUCUUGCCAUCGGAUGUGCCCAGAUGGGAUUAGCUUGUUGGUGGGGUAACGGCUCACCAAGGCGACGAUCCCUAGCUGGUCUGAGAGGAUGACCAGCCACACUGGAACUGAGACACGGUCCAGACUCCUACGGGAGGCAGCAGUGGGGAAUAUUGCACAAUGGGCGCAAGCCUGAUGCAGCCAUGCCGCGUGUAUGAAGAAGGCCCUCGGGUUGUAAAGUACUUUCAGCGGGGAGGAAGGGAGUAAAGUUAAUACCUUUGCUCAUUGACGUUACCCGCAGAAGAAGCACCGGCUAACUCCGU
rnacentral:rRNA from 1 species